rnacentral:rRNA from 1 species
ACAACCUGCCUCAUAGUGGGGAAUAACAUCUCGAAAGAGAUGCUAAUACCGCAUAAGUUCUAUUAUGUCAGUAGUAGAGGAAACGCCUUCGCAAGAGGGUGGCUAAGAGAGGGGUCUGCGGCGGAUUAGCUAGUUGGGUAGGUAACGGCUGCCCAAGGCGACGAUCCGUAGCUGGUCUAAGAGGACGAUCAGCCACACUGGGACUGAGACACGGCCCAG